UACGUAGGGUGCGAGCGUUAAUCGGAAUUACUGGGCGUAAAGGGUGCGCAGGCGGUCCUGCAAGUCAGGCGUGAAAUCCCCGGGCUUAACCUGGGAAUGGCACUUGAAACUACGGGACUGGAGUAUGGCAGAGGGAGGUGGAAUUCCACGUGUAGCGGUGAAAUGCGUAGAGAUGUGGAGGAACACCGAUGGCGAAGGCAGCC
rnacentral:rRNA from 1 species